CCCUGUGUUGGAAAGUGAUUGUGGGCUUCCCAUACCCUAGACGUGGAUACUGCUGGAAGAGGAUGCCGAAAGCCGUUCCCUAUGAUUGCAAGGUCCACUUCUGUCCUUACCAGAUCCUGGUGCUUUUAAACA
ensembl:snoRNA LOC120101212 small nucleolar RNA SNORA71